rnacentral:rRNA from 1 species
UUUGACCUACGGGACGCAGCAGUGAGGAAUAUUGGUCAAUGGCCGAGAGGCUGAACCAGCCAAGUCGCGUGAGGGAAGACGGCCCUACGGGUUGUAAACCUCUUUUGUCGGGGAGCAAAGCGAACCACGUGUGGUUCAUUGAGAGUACCCGAAGAAAAAGCAUCGGCUAACUCCGUGCCAGCAGCCGCGGUAAUACGUAGGGAGCAAGCGUUAUCCGGAUUUACUGGGUGUAAAGGGGGCGCAGACGGCGAUGCAAGCCAGGAGUGAAAGCCCGGGGCCCAACCCCGGGACUGCUCUUGGAACUG